UGCUUACAUAAUUACUUUGGCAGCAUAAUACUGAAAUUGAAAUGAUACAGGGAAGAUUAGGGUGACCCAGCACAAGGAUGACAUGCAGAUCAGUCAAGUGGUUCAUGCUUUA
rfam:Erinaceus europaeus unplaced genomic scaffold scaffold00648, whole genome shotgun sequence